CUUGCUUCUCGGCCUUUUGGCUAAGGUCAGGUGUAACAUCUGUUCUUAUCAGUUUAGUGUCUCAUACGUCCUUGAUGAGUGAACUUUAUAUUAAUGUUUGGGUGGGAUUGUUGAUCUGCU
rfam:Columba livia unplaced genomic scaffold scaffold461, whole genome shotgun sequence.